GAGAGAGAGAGAGAGAGAGAGAGAGAAACUGGGAGGAGGAAUCUAGGCACACACAUUUCACCAACAGACUCAAAGGUUCAGCAACUGUGAUCAAAGUAACUGCAAAUAUCAGUGUGUUCGCUUUAGUGUACACAUAAUUCAGCCAACUUGAAAAAUAUUUAUUCAGUGGCCGCUGGCUGUGUGCCAGGUACUGAGCUGGAUCCUGGACGUGAUCAACUGUCUUAUGAAAUCCAGGGCAGAGCUCAAAGCUGCGCUUACCUUGACUUUAUCAUCAGAAGGCCUCUGGCUCUGGGACACAAGGAACAAGUAAACAAGAGGAAUUGAUGUGACAAGAAUUUAGUAAGUACAAGUCAGGCUUCAACUGAAGGUGCCUGCUUCGUGUUCAGUUUUCCACUGCAAAGUGUACAAAUGAGAAAGAAAAAUGGUUCUGUUGACAAAGAAUGAGCUUGUCUUUCUCCUCUAGGACAUUUGUUGAAGUCCACUGGUUAAAUGACAAAAAAUUUGUAUGUUGUCCAUAGAAUCUGUGGUGAUAUAUUGUGUACCCUAAUAAACUUUGCCUGAAGAUCAGAGAACAGAAC